rnacentral:rRNA from 1 species
UGAGGAAUAUUGGUCAAUGGACGCAAGUCUGAACCAGCCAUGCCGCGUGCAGGAUGACUGCCCUAUGGGUUGUAAACUGCUUUUAUAUUGGAAGAAAAUUAGGAACGCGUUCCUAUAUGACGGUACUAUAUGAAUAAGCACCGGCUAACUCCGUGCCAGCAGCCGCGGUAAUACGGAGGGUGCAAGCGUUAUCCGGAAUUAUUGGGUUUAAAGGGUGCGUAGGUGGCUUUAUAAGUCAGAGGUGAAAUCUUUCAGCUUAACUGGAAAACUGCCUUUGAAACUGUAGAGCUUGAGACAAGAUGAAGUUGGCGGAAUGAGUAGUGUAGCGGUGAAAUGCAUAGAUAUUACUCAGAACACCGAUUGCGAAGGCAGCUGACUAAACUUGAUCUGACGCUGAGGC